rnacentral:sRNA from 1 species
UAGAGAUAACACACACACUAAAGUGAAU